UGGAGGAGGACAGACAGGACGAAGAACCUGAACUAGCACAGCUUUCGAUAGCAACAGAACUGUGGUUUUGGACUGAGUUAUAUGCACUAUGAACUCUUGGCAAAGAAAGAUGAUUUACAGCCUUGGAGACGCGUCAAGCUGGAUGCUUCAGCAUGGUUUCACCACGCACCCACCAGGAGCCCCUCACUCUCACUGCUCCCUCUGCCCAAGCCUGAACCAUCCUGAUUCUUCACUUCCCAAUUUCCUCUUAUAACACCGACUUAAAAAUCCAAGUCCUUCAGAAAAUCUUGCCGGAAUUUCCAAAGUUGACCCUAUUUUGCAUUUCCACAGUGUAUGGCCUGUAUUACUGAUAAAAAUCUGUUUUUUUCUUACGGACUGCUAGCUCUCUACCAGGAAGAUCCAGUAAUAGGUGUAUUUGCAUAUCCAACAUCUGCAUGGUUGGUUCUCAAAAGAUUUGGAUUUUAGAUGAGGCAGAAAUAAAGAACACACAGCAGAAUUCUUUGUAUUCUGAAAGCCAAA